GACUUUCCAGGAUGUGGGUUCCCUUUCUCCUCCACAGUUCCCUUUCAGGAGUGCCCAUCCAGUCCCGAUUCCCCUUCUCUCACUCUCCUCUUUUCUCUUGUUUUACCCAGUUAUGUCAAGAGAUUCUUGCCAUUAUUGGAGGUUUAAGUUCUUCCGCCAGCGUUUAGUUGCUGUUCUGUGCAAGUCCUUUAACAUGUAGAUAUUUUUGUGGUUGUUGUGUUUGUGGGAGAGGGUGAGCGUGUCCCCCUACUCUUCCACCAUCUUGCCUUGUCUCUUUUGUGUUUUUUAAUCUAUGUAAAAAUUUCAUUGAAAAAUUAAGUUUACAGAAACGGACUCACAGUUAGAGAGGACAAACUGGUGGUUACCUUGGGGAGAAGGAAAGGGGAGGGGCAAGAUAGGGGUUAAAAGCACAAGCUACAUUGUCUAAAAUAACCAAUUUACAAGGAUAUGCUGUGCAACACAAGGAGUACAGACAAUAUUUAUAACAACUCUAAAUGGAAUAGUCUUAUUAAAUUUUUGAAUCACUGUGUUGUACACCUGAAACUAAUAUAAGAUUGUAAAUCAGGCAUUCCCAUCGUGGCUCACUGGAAAUGAAUCUGACUAGCAACCAUGAGGACACAGUUUCAAUCCCUGGCCUCGCUCAGUGUGUUAUGGAUCUGAUGUUGCUGAGAGCUGUGGUGCAGCUCAUAUGUGGAGUUGCUGUGGAGGAGGAUCCGGAGUUGCUGAUUCGACAUCUAGCCUGGGAACAUCCAUAUGUUGUGGGUGCGGCCCCCCCCAAAAAAAGAUUGUAAAUCAACUACAUGUCAAUUUAAAUAAUUACGUUUAUUUCCAAAUGAUGUUUUUCCAUAAGUACUAUAACUUCCAGAAUAGAAUGAUAGCUAUUAGGAAACAUAUCCAGGCCUUGUAGCACAGGCACAAGACAAAUAUUGAUCUGUUGACCAUUGAAAGCAGGGAACUAGAAGGAAAGGAGAAAGGGCAAACCCUUGGUAUUAGUCAGAACUUUUCAGCACAAGAUUCAGAAAACCCAUCUCAAACUGGCUUAAUUCUGAAAGAGGCAUUUCUUGGCUCUGAAACACCCAGGAGCAAGGCUGGUUGCAAACACAGCUGGAAUCGGAGGCAGGAGGGGUGUUCCCAGCUUAGUUCCUCAUUGUCAGGAUCUGAUGCUCAGCCCCGCUUUGCAGAGCGAGGGUUGCUGGCAGCUCGCGAGGUUCACACCACCAGCUGGGUGAAUGGAAAAAGAACACGGGCCUCUCUCUCACUUGGCCUGGCAAAAGAGUCAGUGGGUCUUAUUGGCCCCCUGAACCCAUCACUGCAGCCCGGGCAAUGGCAUCGAUCCGAGAGGGAUGCAAAGAGCUGGGAGAACCCAGCCACCCAAUGGGCAAAGUUGUAGGACCCGGACUCAGCCGCUCUGGAAGAAGCAUGUGAUGUGGGCACUGCCCGUACAUGCAAGGCUAUAUGAAGUUGUUUCUUUUACAGGUAAGUUUCUUCACCUGAGGCUUAUUUUCUCAUGGAGAAAAAUGCCUAGUUCAUAGUGUUGAAAGGAUUAAAUUAAAACCUAAGGAAAGCACCUAAAAGAACAGUAGAAACAAUACUUUUUGAAGAUGAAUUCUUUUUUUCCUUCAUAGUCUUUUUUCUUUAAUUUUUAGAUUUCAUACAAAUUUUAAAGAUUACUUUACAUUUAAGUUAUUAUAAAAUAUUGGCUCUAUUCCCCGUGUUGUACAAUACAAACUGGAGCCGAUCUUAACACCCAAUAGUUUGUUCAUCCUACUCCUCUGCCCCUCCCCUCAUCUCCCCACUGUCACCACUAGUUUGUUUUCUUAUAACUGUGAGUCUGCUUCUUUUUUGUUAUAUUCGCUAGUUUGUCCUGGUUUUUCGAUUCCUCCUAUUAGUGGUGUGGGAAGACGAAUUGUUUCCUUUCUGGCCUUCAAGAGUCCAGGCUUUGCAGAGGCAGCAAUGAUCACUAUCACCAUUAGGUGGCAGUCGUGUGCCAGAAGGUUAAAGGCCUGGGAUUUCUGUCAGUGGAAAUUAAGAACUGGUUAAAAUGAUGAUUGGCAGCUGGAGCAAAGCUUGGGGACUGAGAGGCCAGUUGCCACUGCACUGAAACCAACCUGUGUGACCUUGAUCAAGGUCUGAAUGGAUCUCUGGCCCAGAUUCCCUCCAGUAAAACUUGGGGGCCAAUUCUCCAUUUGGAGUUAAAUCUUUUUUGUUUCUUUCUGUAAAAGGUGAAAUUUGCCUUUCAUAGUAAUAAUCUCAGAAGCCAAAAACUGCUCAACAUGCUUGGUCAUUAAUACAUACUGUUUAAAAAUAUGACUGGAUUAAGCAUGAUCCAUUCAUUUAUCGCUAAGUCGCUGCUACCCUGGGAGGCCUGAGAGCAUUCACGCCAUUUAGUGAGAUGACUAAUGGGCCCGCAGAGAUGCUCUCGAGUUACACACAGCUCAGAAAAUCCUCCUUGGAGGCCAGCAAUUCGAAAACCUCACUAUUAAAAAGAGUCACACUGAGCAGCCUUCAAAAGUAUUCCAGUCAUGUAAUUAUAUUUUAAUGGAAGGUUCUUAAAAUGGCUUGGAAAAGCAGAAGGAGUUCAGAACAUUUCAGGUCUGAAAUAGGUUGGAAGUAUCUGGGGCAGCAGGAGAAAUCAGGAAAUGGUGACAUAUAAUUGGGCUUAAGAAGGAAAAUGAUGACACUCCAUUUUCUGCACGAAUUACAACUUAUAACAAAGUUGAAAUAAGAUGAUGUGAUACAAAUGAGCAUUUACCUGGUAUCAUAUAUCAAGGGAGGAUAUUGCACUUCGUAACACAGAAUUCUUUACAAGCGAAGUGCUGUGCUGGGUCCAUGUUAGUCAGUAUAAAAAUCCUCGCAAAAAGAGACCCCAUUGAAAUUCUAAGGGUGUUCACACAUUUCUGCAUUCCAUAGAGAUGUGGAACAGCCUCGUCUGAACACUUGACCUUUAUUUCUCAGCAUGCUCCUUUUUCAGGAUAAAGCCUCUUGAAUUCUUAAACCUGGCAGGUGGGGGUAAGGAUUCAUUCUCAGGUUUCCUCCUCCUAUAUAAAUCCAGACUGUGCUUUGCCUUAUAAGGAAGGAGAGAAAAUUUAUGAAGGUGUAGUUAACCAAAAUUUCAGAAAUGGAGACCUGAUUGAAAGGAAAAGGUAUUUAUUUGGGGUUGGUUAAGACAGCAACCAAGGAGACACAGAUUCAAGAAGCACUUGAAUUGUGUUCCACUGGACCACAAAAAUGGGGGAGGCUUCUGAAGGCCAAAGCUCUAAGAUUACAAGGAGUUACAUGAGUUGUUUUCAAGAAUUAUUAUAGGAGCUGGCAAGAAGUAGGGGUGAUUGGAAAGUAAGGAUUUGCUGGGCUCUGAAAUUAUUACAUCGUUACAAGAGAUCUUGAGACCUUUUUUCUGCUGGUAGGUUUUGUUCUGAAUAUGGCUGGUUGCAUGCUUGGGUCUGGUACAGUUCAACGAAAGUUCAGGUUCUCAGUGGUGCAAGAACAUGUCUGAGAGCAGAUCUUCAAUGGCCACUCGAUUCUGUUUUUUUGGAAUCUAUCUUCCUGCACUGUGAUGACCCCAUUAUCAUUUUAGUGUGUCAUCGGUAUUUAUUUAUUAGGUUGCUGUUGAAAGAUCUGAAAGAAUGAAAGCUGCUUCAUUUUCUCUUUUUCCUCACACAUUUCAAGGAGGGAGCCAAGACUUGAAGAUCUCUUGCUUUGGGUGGUUGUGGUGAGGUCAGAGCAGAAAGCCCCAGUUACUUUCAUGCCACCUUGAGGGCUUAAGGCACAGCAUGCUGGGCACAUUCCCAGGGUUUCUGCUUCACCAAAUCUGGGGUGGAGUCCAGGAAUUGGUGUUUCUAACCACGAGUCUCCCUUCAGUGCUAGAUAUUGAGGGACAGGACCACACAUGAGAGCUACUAUUUUAAGGCAAUAUCUCUCCCUGGGCAGCCUAGAAACGUUUUCCUUUCAGAAGUCUGAACCUGAGCUUCUGAGAGGGUUAUUCUGGGGAGUGUGCAUGGAGAUAGGAAGGGAUAGUUGAAGGGGUCCAUGGAGGGAACAUCAAAGUUCUUGAAAUUGAGGGACCAGGCAUUCCCAAACCUCAGGAUGGGGGUCUGUGAAUCCUGAACUUGAGGAUCAGUGCCUGUUCCUUAGCCUCACCCCAGGGCUAGGCUGAGCUCAGGUGAGGAUGGGGCUUGACAGUAAGAUGCUUUGUCCAAAACUAGGUAAGCCAGCUUCUUGGAUGAACUUGGACGGUGACCAUCUGGAGCACCUGCGACACAGCGAGAAAUUUGCUUAUACAAAUAUCCCGCCAGAUUUGUAUGUAAACCCUGGGAGAGGAGGACACAUAGCUGAAUUCCUUAGCAGUUUGUUACCAAGUCCAAGCUCACAUUGCUUGCCACAUGACAGCUCAGUAAUUCAAGAGGUGAGGUGUUGGGCGGAGAAAUAGUGACCUUAUUGGGAAAGUCGGCAGACCAAGAUGGUGAACUUGUGUCCCAAAGAACAUUCUUACUGGAGUUAGAAUUCAGCUUCCUUUAUACUAAAAGGAGAGCGGGUGUGGUUGCUUGUUGCAAACUUGUUGCAACAGGCAACUUCUUGAUGCAGAAAUCCUUUGUUCUUGCAGCUGUCCAUGUAUAUCAGAUCACCUGUUCUUGUAAACCUCAAAUAAGACAAAUAUUAUUCUCUGUUCUGUCACUUUUCAUCUCUGUAUGAAUGGGAAAGUGUUAUACCUUUUUUUCAUGUAUUUUCAGGCUAUAGGCAACACUCCCUAACAAAAGGUGCAGGGCCAGCAUGACUUAGCACAGGCAACAGAGCACAAGGGUUAGUGCUAAAAGAAUAGAUUCAAUAUGGAGUCAGGUUCAUUCCUCUCUGCUACAAAUUCAAUAGCACAAGGGAUGGCAGUCAGAUUUAAUUUGAUUUGAAGAAAAUAAUGAGACAUUUCUUGACUACCCAACCUUGAGUAAGUGCCACCCGCUACACGAGUUUCUGACUUAUAAUUCACAUGCUUUAGUAUUUGAGGCCUCUCAAUGCAAAUACAUACACUCAUAUUUCCAUCCCUGCUACAGCUCUGGGUCCUCUUGGGAGGGAGGAGCUGGGCUUUUCCCAACAGCUGUGCAAAUCUCACUCUGUCCAAGGGCUGGGGGCUAAAAUCCAGUCAGGCUAUGAGGAAAAGUGACGUUAUCUAAUUUUUUAACGUGCACACCCCAUUCCUACAUAAAAUUGUACUAUGAAUAUACUAUACCUUAGGCAUUUUCCUAUUGCCUUUCACGUGGUUCUUCCUUUCACCACCUUAACAAAUAUCCUUGUGCAUUUCUCCUGCUGCUGCUGAUCUUCUCCUGCCCUUUCACGUUAGAUACUUAGAAAUGGAAUUGCUCAAUGACCUGACAUUUUCACGUGACUUUUCUCACAGAAAUUCUGCCAAUUAGAGAUGCAUGUGAUAUUAGAAGCAGUUUUUUUUAAAAAAUGCCAAGAUUUCUGAGAGUGUUCGAGCCAUAACCCAAGGGUGUAAAUUAGUCCAAGCAGGUUGCUUUCCUUGAAUUUCUAGUUGAAUAUACUGUCCUGAGCAAAUGAACAGAAAAUCAGAGGAGAAUGAGUGGAGAAAACUAAAAUAGGGACAUUUGGAGUAGGGAUAAGGGCAUGAUGCUUAGUGACUUAAAUUACAUUUAUGUAAUGCAAUGGCACUGGAUUCCUGAGGGUUGAAUACAGAGACAUUAGAAGAUAGAAGAUUGUGAGGAUUAGCUUGUAUCUCAAAAUUAUAGCUCAGUCCAAUCCCAUUUCCCACUAAGAAAGAGGGAAAAACACCCACUUUCUUUUCUCUGGGACCUGGGGCUCAGGUGAUGUGUGUUAAGCCUCAUUAUGGGUUAAAUAGACCUUGAGGGGAUCCCAUGGAAAUUUCAAUCUCAUUGCAGUAUUGCAUCUACAGGGACUGUAUUUCUCUUUCCAAACAAUUGAUUUCAGUAUAUAGUCUUGGUGCUCAACCAUUAAUGAGGAGGGUAAGUUAUGUGGUUGUAAAGCUCAAACUUGAAGGACCAUGCUUUUUUUUUUGGACUUGAAUAAGCACAAUUAAAGUGGUUGAACCAAGAAGAAGCCAUGCCCCAAAAUCUCUAAGAGGUUUCAAAUGCAUUUGCUACAAUUCUUCUCCUUCUCCUUCUUCUUUUUUUUUUUUUUUUUUAACACAGCUGCACCUAAAGCAUGUGGAAGUUCCCAGGUUAGGGAUUGAAUUGGAGCUUCAGCUGCCAGCCUAAGGCAAAACCAGAUCCAAGCUAUGUCUGCAACCUAUGCCACAAGUUGUGGCAACACCAGAUCCCUAACCACUGAACCAGGCCAGAGAUUGAACCCACAUUUUCACAGAGACCAUGUCAAGUUCUUAACCUGCUGAGCCAUAAUGGGAACUCCCCAUUUACUGCAAUUCUGGAGCUGGGUUGGUUAGUUGUCAUGUUAAAAGCCAGGCUUGGAGUUCCCAUCGUGGCUCAGUGGUUAAUGAAUCCGACUAGGAACCAUGAGGUUGCGGAUUUGAUCCCUGGCCUCGCUCAGUGGGUUAAGGAUCCAUCGUUGCCCUGAGCUGUGGUGUAGGUCGAAGACGAGGCUUGGAUCUGGCAUUGCUGUGUCUGUGGUGUAGGCC
rnacentral:lncRNA from 1 species